rnacentral:rRNA from 1 species
UUCGGGGGUACUCGAGCGGCGAACGGGUGAGUAACACGUGAGUAACCUGCCCUGGACUUUGGGAUAACCCUCGGAAACGGGGGCUAAUACCGGAUAGGACUUCUGGCCGCAUGGCUGGGGGUGGAAAGUUUUUUCGGUCUGGGAUGGACUCGCGGCCUAUCAGCUUGUUGGUGGGGUAAUGGCCUACCAAGGCGACGACGGGUAGCCGGCCUGAGAGGGCGACCGGCCACACUGGGACUGAGACACGGCCCAGACUCCUACGGGAGGCAGCAGUGGGGAAUAUUGCACAAUGGGCGGAAGCCUGAUGCAGCGACGCCGCGUGAGGGAUGACGGCCUUCGGGUUGUAAACCUCUUUCAGCAGGGACGAAGCGCAAGUGACGGUACCUGCAGAAGAAGCACCGGCCAACUACGUGCCAGCAGCCGCGGUAAGACGUAGGGUGCGAGCGUUGUCCGGAUUUAUUGGGCGUAAAGAGCUCGUAGGCGGCUUGUCGCGUCGACUGUGAAAACCCGCAGCUCAACUGCGGGCCUGCAGCCGAUACGGGCAGGCUAGAGUUCGGUAGGGGAGACUGGAAUUCCUGGUGUAGCGGUGAAAUGCGCAGAUAUCAGGAGGAACACCGAUGGCGAAGGCAGGUCUCUGGGCCGAUACUGACGCUGAGGAGCGAAAGCGUGGGGAGCGAACAGGAUUAGAUACCCUGGUAGUCCACGCUGUAAACGUUGGGCGCUAGGUGUGGGGGACCUCUCCGGUUCUCUGUGCCGCAGCUAACGCAUUAAGCGCCCCGCCUGGGGAGUACGGCCGCAAGGCUAA